GCCGGGCGUGGUGGCACAUGCCUGUGGUCCCAGCUGCUUGGGAGGCUGAGGCAGAGGAAUCGCUUGAACCCAGGAGGUAGAGGUUGCAGUGAGCUGAGAUUGCGCCACUGCACUCCAGCCUGGGUGACAGAGUGAUACUCUGUCUCUA
ensembl:misc_RNA Metazoa_SRP Metazoan signal recognition particle RNA